UGCUUGGUAGGAUAUUUAGAUUACAUGAUUAAUCCCCUAAGUAAUUGAUGAAUAAUGAUUAGGUUUCACUUUACAUUUUGGUCUAUAAAAAUGAUAGUUAUGGUUACAUUAGGAAGGUGUUGUCUUCAGAUCAAAAUGACCAACCACAUCCUCAUCUUUCCCCUCACCUACUACAGCAGUGUUUUUCAACCUUUUUCAUUGACUGGCAUCCCUGAUUGGAAAAUAAAAAAUCGUGACUCCCUUGACCAGCAGUGGAUCUAGAAUCUGAAUAAAGGGGAGGCUAAUGGGCCAGAUGAAUUUUUGCAAAAACGAAUAUUACAUGCAAUGCUGGGGUGGGGUCCGGGGAGGGGACUCCCUCCCCGGGGAAGAAAAAUUUAAAAAAUUGAUAGUUUGAAGU
rnacentral:lncRNA from 1 species